CUCCAUAAGACUUGCACUUAGUCUUGACUCUAGAAAAAUCUUUUUCUUCGUUCUGCCUUUCCAAAAUAAGAUGCUCUGUCUGUAUGUUGGGCAUGUUCCCCUUUGGAGCAGCAGCAAGACUAGUUCAGCUGAAGAGAAAAGAUGGCCAAGCAAAUGCCAGGCUAUAACUUAUGCUCAAAUGGGUCUCGUCGUACUAAGAACUGAAUCGAGAGUCCGGGGCAGCCGCCACAAAGUAAGGAUGAAAGGAAUGGAAACAACAAUCUGAACUAUUUUCAAAGUCAUUUAGAGACCUGUUUGUAUUUUUAAUGCAAUAUAGGGAAUGAGGGAAAACCACUUUGAACAGGUUUGAAUGGGCGGGAUAAUAGCUUAAUUAAAUCACCGUUGGACCGUAGAAAAUAAAUGCCUCCUGUCCUUGUCUUUUAAAGAAGGAAAGGGGGAUUGCUACCCUCCUUGGCGAGCACAUAUAUCCAAAUGUAAGCGUUACAUUUAAACUCCUCUCUCGUCCACACACUAAUAAUAACCAGAAGGGAUUAUGGGGGGUAUUAUUUAUUAUUUUAGUUGAUUUACUAAGGACAGCGAAUAUAAUCCCACGUGGGAUACAAGGGUGAGUUUGGGACAGACCCCGAGGCUGGAGGUGAACCCGAGAUGGCCGAGGGGUGGCUGAAACAUUCAAGGUGAUGAGACCGUCAAAAGGAUGGCAACUUUUUAAAGCGGUUCGUAACUUGGAAGCGAAAAAAACUCCGAACGCCUCGCUUGUUUGGCAAGAUCCUUUCUUUCGUCAGCGGUAAUCUGAGUGAUCAACCUUGGUCAUCGUUAGAAAAAUCAGAGCAAAGUGGGGGAGGGGUCAGGAUCAGUUCAACGGUGACCACCCGAGCUGCACAAAGCAGACGCGUCCUAGGUUGAACUGCCAAGGGCUACAACUCCAAGUGUCCUUAGCUAAGCAGCACUUGUUCCUCACCUCGUCACUACGUGGGCAAAGCCUGAGAAGCGGAUCUCCUGGGAGUCAUCAAAUACAUUCAAACACAAAGGAGAGAAGGGGUCACUCCCAAGUUUGGAGUCUUGCAAAAUGCUGAGAGCUGGGAGCGCCUCCUAAUCCGUCCCCAAACAAGCAAAGCCCUUUGAAGCUAGUCGUCUAGUUGCUGCUUUAAGGGUUUGGGUUUUUUUAAUGGAAAAACCCUUUCCGCAGAUAGACUGUCAUUUGGGCAGAUGACAAGCCGGCAAAACAUGAUGUGGGGGGGGGCGGUUUUUUGCCAGGGGCAAAAGGUUAACAGAUAAUUCUGCGGGUGGCAGACAGGUAGGUGGAUGCUGAAAACAUCUUCCACCGACGUGUCCUACUUUAGCGAUCCUAAUUAAAAGAGGGUUAAAGGAUGCACAAUCAAAAGAGCCACCGCUGCCUGCUGCCUCGGCAAUGGGUGUGGGGGACGCCGACAGGCACCAAGGGUGCAGACAGAAGUGCAGCUCCCAGCUGUAACUCGCAACGAUUUGCUCCCAGCUUGUCCCGCUGGGCGCCUCUGUCUAAAUAAAUAAAUAAAAUACAGCUCGCCCUUUGAUGUGAACUUAUCUCUUUUUGUUUGUUUGUUUGUUUGUUUUAACCGGGUUUCUUUCUUCUGAUGUGUGUGCUCAGAUACGUACCGUGGGGCCGUGGCCCACUUUCAGCCCCGCAGGUUGCGCCCUGUAUUGUGUGCAUUUCUGAAAGGCGAGGAGGUGGGGGAGUCUUGCAUGUAGCCUGGGAGUGUGAACCGAAUGAGUCUGAAGUAGGGGGGUCAGGGAACACACGGAGCAUCCUCUCCUUUUUUUACAUCUCCCCCCAACCAAGAGGAGCUGUGACUUUGUAAGGUACAGACUGGCUCUGUCUAACACUUUGAAGCAGUAAGGCAUCCAGUUUUGUCUUGUUUUUUUUU